rnacentral:rRNA from 1 species
UUUCUAGCUUGCUAGAAGAUGACGAGCGGCGGACGGGUGAGUAAUGCUUGGGAACAUGCCUUGAGGUGGGGGACAACCAUUGGAAACGAUGGCUAAUACCGCAUAAUGUCUACGGACCAAAGGGGGCUUCGGCUCUCGCCUUUAGAUUGGCCCAAGUGGGAUUAGCUAGUUGGUGAGGUAAAGGCUCACCAAGGCGACGAUCCCUAGCUGGUUUGAGAGGAUGAUCAGCCACACUGGAACUGAGACACGGUCCAGACUCCUACGGGAGGCAGCAGUGGGGAAUAUUGCACAAUGGGCGCAAGCCUGAUGCAGCCAUGCCGCGUGUGUGAAGAAGGCCUUCGGGUUGUAAAGCACUUUCAGUCAGGAGGAAAGGUUAGUAGUUAAUACCUGCUAGCUGUGACGUUACUGACAGAAGAAGCACCGGCUAACUCCGUGCCAGCAGCCCGCGGUAAUACGGGAGGGUGCGAGCGUUAAUCGGAAUUACUGGGCGUAAAGCGUACC